rnacentral:rRNA from 1 species
GACGUAGGGGGCCAGCGUUGUUCGGAAUUACUGGGUGUAAGGGUUCGUAGGCGGUGUGGCAAGUCGGGAGUGAAAUCUCUGGGCUCAACCCAGAGUCUGCUUCCGAAACUGCUGUGCUUGAGUGUGGGAGAGGCGCGUGGAAUUGCAGGUGUAGCGGUGAAAUGCGUAGAUAUCUGCAGGAACACCCGUGGCGAAAGCGGCGCGCUGGACCAUAACUGACGCUGAGACACGAAAGCGUGGGUAGCAAACAGG